AACCCAUGAUGAGGGCAUCUUCUCAAUAGAUCCUUGUAUCUCUCCCAUGCAUCAUAUAAUGUCUCUAAAUUGAUCUGGGUAAAGGAAGAAAUAUCAUUCCUGAACUU
rnacentral:snoRNA from 1 species